rnacentral:rRNA from 1 species
GCUACGGGGAGCUGCAGUGAGGAAUAUUGGUCAAUGGGCUUACGCCUGAACCAGCCAAGUCGCGUGAGGGAAGACUGCCCUAUGGGUUGUAAACCCCUUUUGUCAGGGAGCAACGCCGGCUACGUGUAGCCGGAAUGAGAGUACCCGAAGAAAAAGCAUCGGCUAACUCCGUGACAGCAGCCGCGGUAAUACGGAGGAUGGGAGCGUUAUGCGGAUGUAUUGGGGUUAAAGGGCGCGUAGGCGGUCUGAUAAGGUAGAGGUGAAAACCCGCGGCUCAACUUCGGAAUUACGUCUGAUACUGUUCGGCUAGAGAGUAGGUGCGGUAGGCGGAAUGUAUGGUGUAGCGGUGAAAUGCUUAGAGAUCAUACAGAACACCGAUUGCGAAGGCAGCUUACCAAGCUACUUCUGACGUUGAGGCACGAAAGCGUGGGGAGCAAACAGGAUUAGAUACCCCUGUAGUC